rnacentral:tRNA from 2 species
GGGGCCGUAGCUUAGUUGGGAGAGCGCCGCCCUUGCACGGCGGAGGUCCGGGGUUCGAGUCCCCGCGGCUCCA